GAUGAACGGCGUGGCGGCGUGCUUAACACAUGCAAGUCGAACGGAAGCGCUUAAACGGAUUUCUUCGGAUUGAAGUUUUUGCGACUGAGUGGCGGACGGGUGAGUAACGCGUGGGUAACCUGCCUCAUACAGGGGGAUAACAGUUAGAAAUGACUGCUAAUACCGCAUAAGCGCACAGUGCUGCAUGGCACAGUGCGAAAAACUCCGGUGGUAUGAGACGGACCCGCGUUGGAUUAGCUGGUUGGUGAGGUAACGGCCCACCAAGGCGACGAUCCAUAGCCGGCCUGAGAGGGUGAACGGCCACAUUGGGACUGAGACACGGCCCAG
rnacentral:rRNA from 1 species